UGUCCACACAUUGUAAUCAGCUGUAGCGCCAUUUUGUAGUUUGGUUAUCCAUUAUUUGUCAGCAAGAAAUAUUAAUAUAUAGAAAACAAGUCUACUACGAUAAUUUAGUUUUAAAGAUAAUGGGAGUGUGCUGUGUUCAUAAUUGUAAUAAAACAAAUAAAAUGGAAUCUAAUACACAUAUUUCUUAUCAUAAAUUUCCAUUAAAAUCCAAAGAAUUAUUGGAAAAAUGGUUACAUGCUAUAAAUAGAAAAAAUUUUAUGCCUAAUAAAUAUAGUAUUAUUUGUGGAAGGCAUUUUAAAAAUACUUGUUUCAUUCAAACUAUAUCUGGAAAGAUUUUAUUGAAGGAAGAUUCUAUUCCAUCGAUAUUUAGUAUA